rnacentral:rRNA from 1 species
UAAUGAGGACUGCCGGUGGACAAACCCGGAGGAAGGUGGGGAUGACGUCAAGUCCUCAUGGCCCUUAUAGUGGGGCUACACACGUCAUACAAUGGAUGGUACAAAGGGUCGCCAACCGCGAGGGGGAGCCAAUCCCAUAAAGCCAUUCGUAGUCCGGAUCGCAGUCUGCAACUCGACUGCGUGAAGUCGGAAUCGCUAGUAAUCGUGGAUCAGAAUGUCACGGUGAAUACGUUCCCGGGUCUU